AUGGAGGGACCCCGCUUCCACGGGGGGAGCCCCCCCGCCUGCCCCCGCUCAGACGCUGCCCUGGUUAUGCCCCCAAGGGGGGCACCGCGCCCCCCAGUCCGCACAAACGGGACCCAGGCUGAGCCAAGAAGCUGCCUGGCACGGAGGGACGGAGGUGGGAUGUGGGGGGGGGGGUCUGCCCGCUCCGACGCACGGCUUUCCUUCCACUCGGGCACAGCCGAGCCCUCCCGCGCCCCCCCUGCACCGUGUGUGGGGUCCGAUCCUGCCAAGGAAGAAGGGGAUGCGGGAGGAGACGAGCCCCCCAGCGGCACCGGGACGAGGGCCCAGGCAGCGCCACGCACAGCCCCGCAAUUCGGGUUCCCCCCCCCCCAUGGCACGGGGGGCCCCCAGCAGGGAUGGAUCAGGGCACGGGGGCUUCACCCCAGGAGGUGGGGGUCAGCCGCCCCCCUUCCCCACGCAGGGCCGGAUCCUGCCGCGAGCCGCCCUGGCUUUAGCCCGGCUGCCACGGGGGUGCCGCGGCGCUGGGACGCCGCCGGGGCUCAGUGCCAUGCGGGAUGGCCAUGGGGGUGGGGGGCGCGGGGGACCCAUGCUCACCCGCGUCAGGGCGACGCCGGGGCUCGUCCUCCCCUGCGCUCGGUGCCAGGGCGGCAUGCGAGGGGUCCCGGCAUGGCGCUGGCACCACGGCGGCCGUCAGGCACCAUGGCGGGAGCUCCCCCAGCGCUGCCGCGGCACAGACACACGGCCGGGAGAGGGGACGGGCACCCCUCGGCCCGGCCUGGCCCAAACACCACGUCCCCCUGCGGGCUGGAUCCAUCCCUCACCCCCCCCCCCCGGUGCUGCCCAGCCCCAGCGGGGGAUUUGGGAGGGGGCAGCGGGACUGGGCUGGGAUCUGGCACAACCAACGCUGCCGUGGGGACGGCUCUUGGGGGGCACCUGGGCAUUUUGGGGUUGAACCCUGGGAACCUCGGCCCUGAAAACCCUCCCUUUGUCACGGCUCAGCAUCCUCCUAAAAGCCUGCAGCUCAGGGGCGCCCUGCUGCGCCCCAAAACCCUGGGUCCCGGGGGCUCGCUGGCACUGGGGCGGGCUGCUGGGACCCCGAGGCAAGCAUGA
rnacentral:lncRNA from 1 species